rnacentral:misc_RNA from 1 species
GCAAACUUGGUCAUUUAGAGGAAGUAAAAGUCGUAACAAGGUUUCCGUAGGUGAACCUGCGGAAGGAUCAUUACCACUUGCUUCACGGCGUCGCCCUUUAGGGGCCAGUCGUAGCAUGCAACCCUUGCCUAUGUCUACCAUGCGUUAUUCCCUCGGCGGGGUGACCUGCCGGUGAGGAUCCUUAAACUCUUUUGCAUUAGCAUCAAAACUUCUGAAAAUACGCGAAACAAUCACAACUUUCAACAAUGGAUCUCUUGGUUCUGGCAUCGAUGAAGAACGCAGC